rfam:Otolemur garnettii contig050726, whole genome shotgun sequence.
UGACCCCCAUGGCGCUGGCGGUCCUCGUGGCCUUCUGGGCCUAGCCGCCAUACGCCCCCCACCCCCACCAACGGCUUCCAACCACCCCUGCAGUUUAACCUUUUUGGGCGUUCCAACGCGGCGCCCCCUA